UACGUAGGGUGCAAGCGUUGUCCGGAAUUAUUGGGCGUAAAGAGCUUGUAGGCGGUUUGUCGCGUCUGCUGUGAAAUUUCGGGGCUCAACCCCCGAACUUGCAGUGGGUACGGGCAGACUAGAGUGUGGUAGGGGAGACUGGAAUUCCUGGUGUAGCGGUGAAAUGCGCAGAUAUCAGGAGGAACACCGAUGGCGAAGGCAGGUCUCUGGGCCAUAACUGACGCUGAGAAGCGAAAAGCAUGGGGAGCGAAACAGG
rnacentral:rRNA from 1 species